UUCUUUUGGGUGGCUGGGCAAGAGAAGGAGGUCAGAACUUCUCUUACGUUGGGUUGAACCAUUUCUUUUGGGUGGCUGGGCAAGAGAAGGAGGUUUGUUUGCUCAUUUAUUCAGUUGGUAUAUACUGUAGAAAGGAAGACUAUCUGAAAACCUUUAAGUAGUCUGCAUUGCAAGGUUCCUAGGUAGCUGAAUUUCGAAAUCAUUUUUUAACAUUUUGAUUAGGAUGUGUUUUGACUCCACCAUGGGUGACGAGGCCACGUAACAACACUAUCAUUGGGAAAUAGUAAAAAACAGGCAAGUAUUAAUGGAACUUUUGAGAACAGCAUGUGCUGCAGGCUUGAGAUAACUAGAUAACGUGGAGUGAUGGGAAUCACUGAGUUACAACAAUAGAAAA